rnacentral:rRNA from 1 species
UACGAAGGGUGCAAGCGUUAAUCGGAAUUACUGGGCGUAAAGGGUGCGUAGGCGGUUGUUUAAGUCUGUCGUGAAAUCCCCGGGCUCAACCUGGGAAUGGCGAUGGAAACUGGCGAGCUAGAGUGUGUCAGAGGGGGGUGGAAUUCCACGUGUAGCAGUGAAAUGCGUAGAGAUGUGGAGGAACACCAAUGGCGAAGGCAGCCCCCUGGGAUAACACUGACGCUCAGGCACGAAAGCGUGGGGAGCAAACAGG